UCGAGGAUUCAAUUUCUUACUUUCUUUUAUAGAUCUGUAUAUAUGGAUCUAUAAUAUAGGAUUAUGUCUUUGGUAUCGUCGGACCAGGCUUCAUUCCCCUCAAAGAUUGCUACCGUAAUCCUUGCUCACUCGUCAGACAUUUUCGCGAUCUCAAAUAUUUUUGUGUAUUCAGUGGUAAGUUUCAUCUCCUAAGUUUUGUUUUGUUUUGUUUGUUGGCGUUGAUUUUCUGAAGCUUUUGUUUGUCCGUUUGUAAAUCGAUUCUUUUUUUGUUAAGUAGUUAUGUGUUGAUUGGUGUAAUGAUGAAGAUCUUGACUUUUAGGUUUUGCAUUUUUGUUUCAAAUCCCAACCUGAAAAACAGUUUCAUCAUUACAGUCCUUUUUUGGCUAUUUUUUUUUGUGUUUCAAUAGUCAGUAACGUAUGAUUGUGGUCAUGAUUAUGGCUUUUUUGGUAGUAUCUCUUUCUGUAAACAUUCAGAUCUGGAUUCUGCUUUUCAACUUUCUCCAAAACCCUUUCGCCCUUUUUGAUUUUCUCCACAAAUACUUGUCUCUCUCUUUCUUAGCAGGAUUUUUCACAGAUUGGGGUUUAUUUUGUCAAGAACGUACCUUUGCUAAAAAUCGAGCUUUAUUCUUUCUAUAUAUAUGAGUUAAUACAUUCAUAUUAGGCUGAAAAUAAUAUUUGUAUCCAUUGCAUUUCUGUCCGAUAUUGCUGCAUUGUCCGGCCAUUUUGCAUCCAUAAUGUCUUCCUGAAAUUAAGAAGAGAGAAUUAUACAUAAGUACAGUUAUAAAAGAUGUAUAGUGUACAGCUUAAUUUUUAAGAUGCACAGUUUUUGAAGCAUGGUUUUAUAGUACCUCCAACUAUCGUGCGAGUUAAUUUUGUUAGUGUAACCUUUUUUUGUUACAAAUAUAUUUGAUAAGUCGAUACUUGAGUAAAAGAAAACAAAAAGAUAUUUGAGUAAAAGAUUGUCGAAUGCACGUUGUGAACUUGAGACAUGUCGAUAUUGGCAGCUAGAUGUGAUGGAUUUCGUUCUAGCUAGUGCUUGAAAACAGUGGCGGAGUCGGGAUUUUCAGGAAUGAGGUUCAAAUUUUCUCUUUUUUGUAACUAGUGGUAAUUGAAUCUAUAAUCUUACGAAGAUUUUGAACCCCCUGAUCACUAAACUACACUUUUGGGUUGUGCUAAGGGGGUUCAAAACUUAAUAUAUAGACGUAAAAAACAGAUUUUGCCUUAUAUAUACAGUGUAAUAUUUUGGCGAGACCCCUAAAUCCGCCACUGCUUGAAAAUAAUAUUUCAAAGUUUGUAUGUUCUUGUUACUUGUGUGAAGUUCUAUAUUAUAGAGUAUAUAACUUCAAUCAUAGAGAUCAAUUUGGUAUAUAUAGCUCAAAAUUAGAACGUGUUUUCCAAAGAUCUUUUUCACAUAAUAAAAUUAGGAAUACCAGACUUUAAUGUGUUCUUAUCCAGAUAUAAUUUUCAAAUGACUAAUAGGCUGAGUUUACUAGAAGAUGGAAACAGAAAGGAGUCUUUUGCUGUAACGAGAUAUAAAUAAAUGGUACAUUUUGAAGAUUACUAUUGGUUUGAAGUGUCUUGGCUUUUACAAGUAACUUGGAGUUAUCACUGAUACAUAUCCAGCAUCAAUCUAAACGAUCUUUUUUGACAUUGAAUCUCAGUUCAUGCAUGAAAGGUCAAUUCUUUCAUAAACACUACUACGAUUUAAACAAAAAUGACUGGAAAAACAGCAUAUUGAAGAUAUUGAGGGUUAGAUAGAUACACUUCAAAAGAGAAAAUGUUGACCUCUUGAAGCUAAAUGAGAUGUGAUGUCUCACACAUGUGAAUGUAGGUUUUCUGACUUCCUUCCUCUUGCUUAUUUAAAAUUAAGAAAACCAGACUUUAAUAUGUUUUUAUCAAGAUAUAAUCUUCAAAUGACUAAUAGGCUGAAUUUACCAGAAUAUGGAAACAGAAAGGAGUCUAUUGCUGUAAUGAGAUAUAAUUAAAUGGUGCAUUUUGAAGAUUACUUUUGGUUUGAAGUGUCUUGGCUUUUACAAGUAAAAUGGAGCUCAUUACUGAUACAUAUCCAGCAUCAAUCUAAACGAUCCCUUUUGACAUUGAAUCUCAGUUCAUGUAUUAAAGGUCAAUUCCUACAUAAAUACUAGGAUUUAAAAAAAAAUGACUGGAAAAACAGCAUAUUAAAGAUAUUGAGGGUUAGAUAGAUACACUUCAAAAGAGAAAAUGUUGACCUCUUGAAGCUAAAUGAGACGUGAUGUCUUACACAUGUGAAUGUAGGUUUUCUGACUUCCUUCCUCUUGCUUAUUAGGAAAAAACAGAAGAUAAAAACAAAAUUGCUUGUUGAGAAUUCAAUGCUUUUGCCCAUUCUAUAUUUACGGAAAAGUGAAAACACAGAAAAAGAGGAACACACAAACUUUUUUACCUUUUCUCCCCACCAUAUUUGACACUCACAUGUCUCCUGCAAGAGAGAACAAUAGACACAGGGGCGGAUGUAGCUCGCGACAGGUUUAUUCCAAUCUAAUAAUUUCUUAUGCAGUAUAUCUAUAUUCUAAUCUAUCAAAUUAAUAAAUCAUAAAGUAGACAUUGAAGUUUUAAGGGAUCAAGCCAAAUCCUAAAUUAAAGAUACUGCAGGACUCUUGAAAUCUAGGAGUCUAUUAGGGUUUCUUGGAGGUACAGUUACUCUACCCUAAACUUUAAAUCACACCUAUAUAAAGGGAUACAUAUUCCCUUGAAAAGGUGUCUCAAAAUUCCAUAAACUCAGGUCAAAAUAUGGCCGUAUACUUCUUGACAAUCAAAUAGUUCAAGAAGCUGGAGAUCAAAUACAUCCCAGGAGGUCUGCAUCGUCCUACAUUUGAGAAAUUUGCAGCUUCAGCCCUCGAAUCAUGGUGAUAAUCAGGAGAGAAGAAUCAAGGAAGAAACAGAAUUGUACUCAUAAUUGAUUAGUAAAAAUAUUUUCUCUUAUUUUGUGAUUGCGGUUUAUUUUUCCUGUGACAGAAAAUUUAUUGCAAACACAUGGAUCCGUUUUUGCAUGGAUAAUGGAUACCUUUUGGUCCUGAAAAGUGAAAGCACA
rnacentral:lncRNA from 1 species